CCUUGUACACACCGCCCGUCACACCAUGGGAGUUGGUUCAACCCGAAGACGGUGCGCUAACCGCAAGGAGGCAGCCGGCCACGGUAGGGUCAGCGACUGGGGUG
rnacentral:rRNA from 1 species